GGGCGGUUGGCGCAGUGGUAGCGCGCUUCCCUGACACGGAAGAGGUCACCAGUUCGAACCUGGUAUCGCCCA
rnacentral:tRNA from 1 species